GUUGGCUUAGAAGCAGCCAUCCUUCAAAGAAAGCGUAAUAGCUCACUGGUCGAGUCCUUCUGCGCGGAAGAUGUAACGGGGCUAAGCUGUUAACCGAAGCCGCGGAUGCACUGAUUAUUCAGUGCGUGGUAGGGGAGCGUUCUGUAAGUCUGCGAAGGCGGUUCGAGAGGACUGCUGGAGAUAUCAGAAGUGCGAAUGCUGACAUGAGUAACGUUAAAGCAGGUGAAAAGCCUGCUCGCCGUAAGCCCAAGGAUUCCUGCUCUACGUUCAUCGGAGCAGGGUGAGUCGGCUCCUAAGGUCAGGCCGAAAGGCGUAGCCGAUGGGAAUCAGGUUAAUAUUCCUGAACCUGCGUCAGAUGCGAUGGGGGGACGGAGCAUGAAAGAUCAUCCGGGUGUUGGAUGUCCCGGUUGACGAGCGUAGGAGGUCUGCAGGCAAAUCCGCAGACGCAUCUCCAAGGCGAAGUCACGUGCCGCCACGGCGGCGAAGUGAUCGGAAGUGCUUCCAAGAAAAGCCUCUAAGCACCAGUCUGACGCGGACCGUACCGCAAACCGACACUGGUGGGCGAGCUGAAUAUGCUCAGGCGCUUGAGAGAACUCGGGAGAAGGAACUCGGCAAAUUGACACCGUAACUUCGGAAGAAGGUGUGCCGUAGUACCGUGAGAGGAGAGACACCUUGAGCGGGAAUCGGUCUCAGAGAAUAGGUGGCUGCGACUGUUUAUUAAAAACACAGCACUCUGCAAAGUCGAAAGACGACGUAUAGGGUGUGAUGCCUGCCCGGUGCUGGAAGAUUAAUUGAUGGGGUGAGAGCCCUUGAUCGAAGUCCCAGUAAACGGCGGCCGUAACUAUAACGGUCCUAAGGUAGCGAAAUUCCUUGUCGGGUAAGUUCCGACCUGCACGAAUGGCAUAACGAUGGCCACACUGUCUCCUCCCGAGACUCAGUGAAGUUGAAAUGUUUGUGAUGAUGCAAUCUACCCGCGGCUAGACGGAAAGACCCCAUGAACCUUUACUGCAGCUUUGCAUUGAACUGUGAACCGAUUUGUGUAGGAUAGGUGGGAGGCAGAGAAGAGGCCACGCCAGUGGUCUUGGAGCCGACCUUGAAAUACCACCCUGAUUUGUUUGCGGUUCUAACCACGGACAGUGAUCCUGUCUUGGGACCGUGCAUGGUAGGCAGUUUGACUGGGGCGGUCUCCUCCUAAAGGGUAACGGAGGAGUACGAAGGUACGCUAGGUACGGUCGGAAAUCGUGCUGAUAGUGCAAUGGCAAAAGCGUGCUUGACUGCGAGAGCAACAACUCGAGCAGAUGCGAAAGCAGGUCAUAGUGAUCCGGUGGCUCUGAAUGGAAGGGCCAUCGCUCAACGGAUAAAAGGUACUCUGGGGAUAACAGGCUGAUACCGCCCAAGAGUUCAUAUCGACGGCGGUGUUUGGCACCUCGAUGUCGGCUCAUC
rnacentral:rRNA from 1 species